rnacentral:rRNA from 1 species
AACAGGAUUAGAUACCCUGGUAGUCCACGCUGUAAACGAUGUCGACUUGGAGGUUGUGCCCUUGAGGCGUGGCUUCCGGAGCUAACGCGUCAAGUCGACCGCCUGGGGAGUACGGCCGCAAGGUUAAAACUCAAAUGAAUUGACGGGGGCCCGCACAAGCGGUGGAGCAUGUGGUUUAAUUCGAUGCAACGCGAAGAACCUUACCUACUCUUGACAUCCAGAGAAUUUGCUUGAGAUAGCUUAGUGCCUUCGGGAACUCUGAGACAGGUGCUGCAUGGCUGUCGUCAGCUCGUGUUGUGAAAUGUUGGGUUAAGUCCCGCAACGAGCGCAACCCUUAUCCUUUGUUGCCAGCACGUAAUGGUGGGAACUCAAAGGAGACUGCCGGUGAUAAACCGGAGGAAGGUGGGGAUGACGUCAAGUCAUCAUGGCCCUUACGAGUAGGGCUACACACGUGCUACAAUGGCAUAUACAAAGAGAAGCGAACUCGCGAGAGCAAGCGGACCUCAUAAAGUAUGUCGUAGUCCGGAUUGGAGUCUGCAACUCGACUCCAUGAAGUCGGAAUCGCUAGUAAUCGUAGAUCAGAAUGCUACGGUGAAUACGUUCCCGGGCCUUGUACACACCGCCCGUCACACCAUGGGAGUGGGUUGCAAAAGAAGUAGGUAGCUUAACCUUCGGGAGGGCGCUUACCACUUUGUGAUUCAUGACUGGGGUGAAGUCGUAACAAGGUAACC